UGGGGAAUAUUGCACAAUGGGCGCAAGCCUGAUGCAGCCAUGCCGCGUGUAUGAAGAAGGCCUUCGGGUUGUAAAGUACUUUCAGCGGGGAGGAAGGGAGUAAAGUUAAUACCUUUGCUCAUUGACGUUACCCGCAGAAGAAGCACCGGCUAACUCCGUGCCAGCAGCCGCGGUAAUACGGAGGGUGCAAGCGUUAAUCGGAAUUACUGGGCGUAAAGCGCACGCUGGCGGUUUGUUAAGUCAGAUGUGAAAUCCCCGAGCUCAACCUGGGAACUGCAUCUGAUACUGGCGAGCUUGAGUCUCGUAGAGGGGGGUAGAAUUCCAGGUGUAGCGGUGAAAUGCGUAGAGAUCUGGAGGAAUACCGGUGGCGAAGACGGCCCCCUGGACGAAGACUGACGCUCAGGUGCGAAAGCGUGGGGAGCAAACAGG
rnacentral:rRNA from 1 species